rnacentral:rRNA from 1 species
CUGCCAGUAGUCAUAUGCUUGUCUCAAAGAUUAAGCCAUGCAUGUCUCAGUACAAGCCAAAUAAGGUAAACCGCGAAAGGCUCAUAAAUCAGUUAUGGUUCCUUAGAUCGUACCCACAAUUACUUGGAUAACUGUGGUAAUUCUAGAGCUAAUACAUGCAAACAGAGCUCCGACCGGAGACGGAAGGAGUGCUUUUAUUAGAUCAAAACCAAUCGGUGGCGAGUUCGCUCGUCAUCGUACAACUUGGUGACUCUGAAUAACUUUACGCUGAUCGCACGGUCUCGCACCGGCGACGCAUCUUUCAAAUGUCUGCCUUAUCAACUGUCGAUGGUAGGUUCUGCGCCUACCAUGGUUGUAACGGGUAACGGGGAAUCAGGGUUCGAUUCCGUAGAGGGAGCCUGAGAACGGCUACCACAUCCAAGGAAGGCAGCAGGCGCGCAAAUUACCCACUCCCGGCACGGGGAGGUAGUGACGAAAAAUAACGAUACGGGACUCAUCCGAGGCCCCGUAAUCGGAAUGAGUACACUCUAAACCCUUUAACGAGGAUCAAUUGGAGGGCAAGUCUGGUGCCAGCAGCCGCGGUAAUUCCAGCUCCAAUAGCGUAUAUUAAAGU